UACGGAGGGGGCGAGCGUUGUUCGGAAUUAUUGGGCGUAAAGCGUAUGUAGGCGGUCAAACAAGUCAGGCGUGUAAUCCCUCGGCUCAACCGAGGAGUUGCGUUUGAUACUAUUUGACUUGAGUAUAUGAGAGGAAAGCGGAAUUCCCAGUGUAGCGGUGAAAUGCAUUGAUAUUGGGAAGAACACCAGUGGCGAAGGCGGCUUUCUGGCAUAUUACUGACGCUGAGAUACGAAAGCCAGGGGAGCGAACGGGAUUAGAAACCCCAGUAGU
rnacentral:rRNA from 1 species